UGAUCACACACGUGGUCAUUCUCUUCAGCACAGAUCUACCGAUUAGACGCAAGCAGCAUGAGCGGGCGCAACAUUGGUGCUGAUUGGCCAUCUGAUCCCCCGACUGAAGAGAGGCUCAUCAAUUACUAUGUCUUAGUUGCAUAGGCUCAGUUGUUUGUAAGGCCUCGAGGACAGAGUAAUGCGGAGGAGUCAUUCUCUAACUAUUACCUAUGGAGAAACAGAACCACAGGCAUUAGGUAAGCAGUUAAUGUCAGUAUAUGGUGUCUAUCUGAAUCAAAGCAUCCCUGAGUUCUUACAACUAGACUGCUGGUGGCAUGAUCCCUUCUAUGCUUUGUCCACUGGAGGCUGUCAGUGUCUCAAGUGGCCAUAAAAGGGGGGUACAGCAACCCCUUGCUAAAACCGUGGUCAGAGGUCCUUUCUCUGUGCCUGGAUCCUGUCACAAGACACAUUCCUAUAAAAUAGUUACAUACCAACUUCAGCAAAAUGUGACAUGACUUGUCUGAAUUAAAAUUGUAGUAAAGUUUUACCCACUUGUUUUUACAGAUACUAUUUAUGACAGCAUUAUCUCUGGGACAAUAAGUCUAAAAUACCUACAGAGAGCUGUGUGUUAGUCCCUUUCAUCUUAAUGGCAGUUGCUUGGCUGGCAUGUGCAGCCCGAGAGGGUCGUGUCUAGAAGGGAUCCCUCUCUUGUCAAAAAAAGCACAGGUGAAAACAUCUUAACAGAAUGUGCAUGCAUGAGAAAUUGACGAGAGAGCGAUCCCUUCUAGACACAACCGCCCGGGAGUUGCGUGACCUGGAUGCUGCCAUUUUUACUUUAUGGGCACUUCCAGAGACCAUUUAGGCCAAUCACUAUAAAAGACUGAUCACACUAUAUUAAAACUCCUGUUUCAUAUUAAAUAUGUAGUGUUGGUUAAAGUACUCUGGCCACUUUUGCAUGGCCAUCCAAUGGAGAAACAUGCUUUUUACCUGUAUGUGUACUUAUGAUGUCUACCAGCAGGGGCUAACCAGCCAAACCUUGAUCCCAGAGUAAAUGUGUUGCUGCAAUUAUCCAAUGUUAUAGCUUGAAAAAUGCUAAUUGUAUUGUCAUUGACUGAUGCAGUUUCGAUUAUAAAUAAUGCAUAAAGUUAUGUAUUGCUGGUUACCAAUCAAUAAAGAUACUUUGCCU